rnacentral:rRNA from 1 species
GCCUUAGUACGGCGAGUGAAGCGGCAAAAGCUCAAAUUUGAAAUCUGGUACCUUCGGUGCCCGAGUUGUAAUUUGGAGAGGGCAACUUUGGGGCCGUUCCUUGUCUAUGUUCCUUGGAACAGGACGUCAUAGAGGGUGAGAAUCCCGUGUGGCGAGGAGUGCGGUUCUUUGUAAAGUGCCUUCGAAGAGUCGAGUUGUUUGGGAAUGCAGCUCUAAGUGGGUGGUAAAUUCCAUCUAAAGCUAAAUAUUGGCGAGAGACCGAUAGCGAACAAGUACAGUGAUGGAAAGAUGAAAAGAACUUUGAAAAGAGAGUGAAAAAGUACGUGAAAUUGUUGAAAGGGAAGGGCAUUUGAUCAGACAUGGUGUUUUGUGCCCUCUGCUCCUUGUGGGUAGGGGAAUCUCGCAUUUCACUGGGCCAGCAUCAGUUUUGGUGGCAGGAUAAAUCCAUAGGAAUGUAGCUUGCCUCGGUAAGUAUUAUAGCCUGUGGGAAUACUGCCAGCUGGGACUGAGGACUGCGACGUAAGUCAAGGAUGCUGGCAUAAUGGUUAUAUGCCGCCCGUCUUGACCCCCC